rnacentral:rRNA from 1 species
UACGGAGGGAGCUAGCGUUGUUCGGAAUUACUGGGCGUAAAGCGCACGUAGGCGGCUUUGCAAGUUAGAGGUGAAAGCCCGGGGCUCAACUCCGGAAUUGCCUUUAAAACUGCAUCGCUGGAGUUGUGGAGAGGUAAGUGGAAUUCCGAGUGUAGAGGUGAAAUUCGUAGAUAUUCGGAAGAACACCAGUGGCGAAGGCGACUUACUGGACACAUAUUGACGCUGAGGUGCGAAAGCGUGGGGAGCAAACAGGG